rnacentral:lncRNA from 1 species
UCGUGGAUGAGUUAGCUCUAGACUCACCCGAACUUCGAUUGGUCAAACCAUCAUUCCUUUACUUGCAAGUUCCAAAGAAUAUAAACUUAACGAUUACUGUACAGUAAAAUCUAUCCGACUUGCUGUCUGGUCGUUCUAACACGCUGUUGCAGUCUCCACUGCCUGACAGUUCCCCAUUUCACGGCGGAGAAAAUUAGGAGAUAGAGGAGUUAGAAUAAGCUAAACGAAAACUACUGGGGAAAUAAACAAAUGAAAGCUACUGGGAAAAAAUAAGAUAAUCAAGUCCUGAACAAAUGGUCCUACAAAAAUAUUUGGAUAAAAAGUUUAAUAAUCAAUUCCUGAACAAAGUGACACAGAAUCAACAAAUUAAACAAUAAUCAUCUCUCGAAUAUUUAAAGAUUUUAACGCUGGAGUUACCUUUGCGUCAUGGAGGAGCAUUCACAUUCCUGAACCUUAGGAGGCAGACCUCGUCGGUGGACAUAAGAAUUAGCAAUUUUCCAAGACAGAUUUCUUUAAAAGAUAAUUAAUGAGGAGAAACAACUGAUGAAUCUCACAGGACAAUUAAAGUUGCACAAACACAAAGAUUAUAAGAACUAGCACUUCUUAUUAGAUUUAGAAACUCUCUCAAAACUAAACUUUUCAAUGUGUUUUUCUUGAUGGAACAUCUCUCCAUGAGAACUCUUUAUAUAGGAAGAAGCUACAUCUUUUCCUAAGGGCGAAGCUACAUCUUUUCCUAAUAAUAAUAUGGAAACAUUCCUAAGCUCGAUAUGUUUUCCUUUUUUCUUAACCCAUCAAACUUCACUUUAAUGAGUUAACUUGCUCCUCAAGUUAAUUGGAAUUAUCCAACAUUCUCCCCCUUAAUUCCAACUCGAAUCUCGGGUAAGUUGAUCUUCUGAACUCCGAUGAACUUCCAUAGACCAUUAAUAGGUGCAUCGCAUUUCUUCGAUACGAUGUUGCAUCAGAACGUGAGUAUAGAUGCUUCACUGCUUCUCUAUGACUCUCUCUUAAGCAUCCUAUGGUGCUUCGAUACGAUGUUGCAUCAAUUUCAGGCUCCUCCUCUGCCUUUGAUACUUUCAAACUCGUAUGCAUCAGAACGUGAGUAUAGUUACAUGACUCCAUCUUCGUCUUGACAAGUAUACCUUGCGCGUAUCCUUCUUGUUUGAUGUGAAUGCCAUCAGCUCCUUGCGUUACUUCUAUACCAAGAUAAUAUGUAAGCAUCUCGAAGCCUGACAUCUCAAAUCUUCUUGACAUAUCAUUUUUGAAUUGCUUGAUAACAUUGAGCGAAGUCCCUGUUACAAACAAGUCAUCGAUGUAUAUAGCUAUGAUCAGAAGCUCCCCCUUCUGUUUCUUUUGAUAUACCGCAGGUUCCUUGGUGCACUUCGUGAACUCCAUCUGCUUGAGAACACGGUCGAGUUUGAUGUUCCAAGCUCUUAGAGCAACUGGUGCAAACACUUCGUCGAAGUCUAUGCCUUGUUGUAGCACGUAGCCUUUUGUGACUAGCCUUGCUUUGUAUUUGAUCAUCUUUCCAUCUGCAUUCCUCUUGAUCUUAUAGAUACACUUCAAACCUAUCGGUUUCACACCUGCCGGCUUCUUGACGAGCUUCCAGGUCUUAUUUUUGAUGAUAGAUUCGAUCUCUGCCUUCAUUGCAUCGAUCCAAACUUGUAUCACUGCAGCUUCGAUGUAACUUUCUGGUUCACCAUCGAUGGUGAGCAAGAGUCUGCCACCUUCAAAUUCAGCAAGUAGGAUGUAAUCAGCGAACCGCUUUGGUUUUCUGAUGUUACGGCCAUAUCUUGAUGUUACAUGCUGGUCUUGGUUUGCAUCGUUGUUCUCUGCUACUUCGUGGUGUUGGUGAUCUUGAUGCUCAUCACCAUCUCCUUCUUCUGUAACAUCAAUAUGAGGAAGCUUGAAUGAUCAUGGUUCUUCGUCCACGUUUGUUGAUAGUGUAUACGAUGUAUUGAGAUGUCUAGUUACACCGUUUUCUUCACAAAAACGAAUGAACUCAGAAGAUGUGAACUCUCCUCCUCUAUCGGUGCGAAAAGUCUUGAGUUGUAGCUUCGUUUGAUUCUCCACGUACUCCUUGAACUUUUUGAACCGAUCGAACGCUUCACUCUUCUCUCUUAGCAACAUCGUCCACAUAUAUCUUGAGUAAUCAUCAAUUAAGACAAAUACAUAUCUAUUGUUUGCUGGUGUUGAUGGUGAUAUCGGACCGCACAAGUCACCAUGUACCAACUCCAAUGCGUGUGAUGCUCGAUACUUUGCUUUAGGCGGGAAAGACUUCCGAGUUUGCUUCCCAACUAAGCAGGCGCUGCACACAUCUUUCUCGUGUAUCACCUGAGGCAUCCCUACUACCAUCUCUUUGUCUACUAUAUUCUUCAUGACUGCAAAGUUCACAUGUCCUAGCCGUGCAUGCCACAUCCAUGUAACAUCAGUUUCUUGUAUUUGAAGACACUUCGAAUAUUCAACCUCCAGUGGCGUCUUGUACAAUCGGUUUGGUUGCCUUGCGACUUGUACUAAUAGCCUUCCACGGGGAUCUUUCAGCAUCAGUAAGUCUUCUUUCAUAUUAACCUCACAACCCAUCUCGGUUGCUUGUCCAAGACUUAUGAUAUUGUGUUUAAGACUUGGGAUGUAGUAGAUAUCUUUGAGUGCUCUUCUCUCCCCUGUUUUUCCGAUGAACGUCAUCGAACCUUUCCCAACAAUCUCGACGUUUGAUCCAUCACCGAAUUUGACUUUGCCUUUGAUGCUCUCAUCUAGGUUUGAGAAGAACUCUCUCUUGCCUGUCAUAUGGUUACUUGCACCAUGUCAAGGUACCAUAUACUCGUAUUUCCAUCGCAUUCAUCAAACCUCUUAGGAAACACUCUCUCUUCGUUGAGGAAUACUACUUCAUGCAUAUAUAAUGCAUCUGCUUCCUGUGUUUCCGUUAGUUUAGCUUCUUCUCUUGGGCGUGUAGGACAAUGUGACACGAAGUGCCCCAUCUUGUCGCAUCGCCAACAUCUAACCUUAGAGUAGUCCUUCUUGGUCUUGUCUGAAGCUUCUCCUCCUUUGUUAUGACCAUCAGAACCAUUAGACCUUCCUUGUCCUCUUCCUCUUCCACCAUAACCUCUACCUAUGCCUCUUCCUCGCGAGUUGUUAUGGCUUCCACUACCUUGAAUAUCAUUCUUUCCAAACAUGAGCUUCGAUUGACCUUCAUCUUGGGUUUCUUCUUUGAUGUGUUCUUCGAAAGCCUUCAAUCUCCCAACAAUGUCUUCGAAUCCCGUUGAAUUUAGAUCCAACACUUGUUCUAACGAAGCUACGAUGUGAAUGAACUUCGUUCUUGGAAGUCCCUUCAGAAACUUCUUUACCAGCUUUGAUGCUUCCAUUAUCUCUCCUAACGCGGCUGCUCUCGAUGCUAAGCCUGAAAGUUUUCCUGCAUAGUCAUCCACCGUGUCUGUGUCUGUCAUCUUCAGUUUGUCGAACUCAGACAUCAAAGUUUAUAACCUUGCUUCUCUCACGCGAUCAGCACCUAGGUUACGGAAUUUGAUAGCUUCCCAAAUCUUCUUUGAUGUAUCAUGUUCUCCAAUCUGAAGUAUUAGCACCUCCGGGACUGAUUGAAAGAUUAGAGCAAUCGCCAUAUUGUUCUUCUUUGCAUCGUUACUCCCUGGAUCAAUCGUAUCCCAAACUUCGUAUAAACGAAGCAUCACUUUCAUUCGCAUCGACCAUACGGUGUAGUUGGUCGAUGUUAGCAUCGGACAUCGUAUGUCCUUCUUCAUCUCAAGACCUUUAUCACGUGCUUGAGAAUCGUCGCCCAUGUUUUGAUCGAAGUUACAACUCCUCUUGUAAACGACCUUCGAAACCUGGAGCUCUGAUACCAAUUAAAGUUGCACAAACACAAAGAUUAUAAGAACUAGCACUUCUUAUUAGAUUUAGAAACUCUCUCAAAACUAAACCUUUCAAUGUGUUUUUCUUGAUGGAACAUCUCUCCACGAGAACUCUUUAUAUAGGAAGAAGCUACAUCUUUUCCUAAGGGCGAAGCUACAUCUUUUCCUAAUAAUAAUAUGGAAACAUUCCUAAGCUCGAUAUGUUUUCUUUUUUUCUUAACCCAUCAAACUUCACUUUAAUGAGUUAACUUGCUCCUCAAGUUAAUUGGAAUUAUCCAACAGACAAAACAUACUCUUUUAUAUUAAAUGGAAACCUUUAUCAUCAUUCAAAUCAAGAAUCUAAAAAUUUUCAAGAAAUAGCUUGAAGAUCAUGAGUUUUGUACCUUUACAUUAGGAUGAGCAUGUCUAUACACAUAAGCUCAAUCCUCGCUUCACGUACCUCGCCUCCCAAAAUAGGCGGACCUCCACGGUGGUGGUCCAAUGACCAUCCCUCAAGUCUGCGAGGAAGAGAGCGGAGUUAGUCAGAACGUGGAGAAAUCUAUAAGAUGGAGAGGAAUGAAUAAUAUGAGUUUCGAUGGAAUGAGAUAACCUAUUUAUAGUGGUGAUUCACACAAUAGCAAUAAUGGGGAUACAUUGAAUGACAGAUCGUGUGAAGAGUGGGAAAUGUUGUUGAUGAGGGUGUUAAAGGCGGCGAUUGGAUGAAUUGAUUAUCGUAACGUUUCCAAGAAUUUAUUUGUCGGUGAGUUGGAAGUCAAUCGAAAGACACCACCACCGGGUUCUAACAGGCUAUCGCCGGAAACAAUGGCUUCACGUAUUACAGAUGGAGAUUCGACGCCGGUUGGAUGAACGAUCUAAGCAUUCGUCGAAAAAAAAAACAUUUUUUGGCGACGCGAAGAGAAGAGGAAAACAGAGGUGUCGUUUUUCUGAAAAAGGAAGCCCAGC